UGAUUGGGACUUGUCUAAUUUAUGUAUAGUGUCAAUAAGCAUCGACCAAUAGAAUGAUUGGGACUUGUCAAAUAUAUGUAUAAUGUCAAUAAGCAUCGACCAAUAGAAUGAUUGGGACUUGUCAAAUAAAUGUAUAGUGUCAAUAAGCAUCAACCAAUAGAAUGAUUGGGACUUGUCAAAUAUAUUCAAUAAGCAUCUUCAAAUAGAAUGAUUGGGACUUGUCAAAUAUAUGUAUAAUGUCAAUAAGCAUCGACCAAUAGAAUGAUUGGGACUUGUCAAAUAUAUGUAUAGUGUCAAUAAGCAUCGACCAAUUGAAUGAUUGGGACUUGUCAAAUAUAUGUAUAUUUUCAAUAAGCAUCGACCAAUAGAAUGAUUGGGACUAGUCACAUAUAUGUAUAGUGUCAAUAAGCAUCUACAAAUAGAAUGAUUGGGACUUGUCAAAUAUAUGUAUAGUGUCAAUAAGCAUGGACCAAUAGAAUGAUUGGGACUUGUCAAAUAUAUGUAUAGUAUCAAUAAGCAUGGACCAAUAGAAUGAUUGGGACUUGUCAAAUAUAUGUAUAGUGUCAAUGAGCAUCGACCAAUAGAAUGAUUGGGACUUGUCAAAUAUAUGUAUAGUGUCAAUAAGCAUCUACAAAUAGAAUGAUUGGGACUUGUCAAAUAUAUGUAUAGUGUCAAUGAGCUUUGACCAAUAGAAUGAUUGGGACUUGUCAAAUAUAUGUAUAGUGUCAAUGAGCAUUGACCAAUAGAAUGAUUGGGACUUGUCAAAUAUAUGUAGUGUCAAUAAGCAUCUACAAAUAGAAUAAUUGGGACUUGUCAAAUAUAUGUAUAGUGUCAAUAAGCAUCGACCAAUAGAAUGAUUGGGACUUGUCAAAUAUAUGUAUAGUGUCAAUAAGCAUGGACCAAUAGAAUGAUUGGGACUUGUCAAAUAUAUGUAUAGUGUCAAUGAGCAUCGUCCAAUAGAAUGAUUGGGACUUGUCAAAUAUAUGUAGUGUCAAUAAGCAUCUACAAAUAGAAUAAUUGGGACUUGUCAAAUAUAUGUAUAGUGUCAAUAAGCAUCGACCAAUAGAAUGAUUGGGACUUGUCAAAUAUAUGUAUAGUGUCAAUAAGCAUGGACCAAUAGAAUGAUUGGGACUUGUCAAAUAUAUGUAUAGUGUCAAUGAGCAUCGUCCAAUAGAAUGAUUGGGACUUGUCAAAUAUAUGUUUAGUGUCAAUAAGCAUCGACCAAUAGAAUGAUUGGGACUUGUCAAAUAUAUGUAUAGUGUCAAUGAGCAUCGACCAAUAGAAUGAUUGGGACUUGUCAAAUAUAUGUAUAAAGUCAAUAAGCAUCUACAAAUAGAAUGAUUGGGACUUGUCAAAUAUAUGUAUAAUGUCAAUAAGCAUCGACCAAUAGAAUGAUUGGGACUUGUCAAAUAUAUGUAUAGUGUCAAUAAGCAUCAACCAAUAGAAUGAUUGGGACUUGUCAAAUAUAUGUAUAUUUUCAAUAAGCAUCGACCAAUAGAAUGAUUGGGACUAGUCACAUAUAUGUAUAGUGUUAAUAAGCAUCUACAAAUAGAAUGAUUGGGACUUGUCAAAUAUAUGUAUAGUGUCAAUAAACAUGGACCAAUAGAAUGAUUGGGACUUGUCAAAUAUAUGUAUAGUAUCAAUAAGCAUGGACCAAUAGAAUGAUUGGGACUUGUCAAAUACGUAGAGUCUCCUAACUUCAACUUAUAUGCCUAACAUCGGCUAAAAUUUAAAAAGUUCAAUAUUUUUUUUCCUUUUAUGGAAACAGUAAUUGUAGUGAUUUGGGAAGUAUACAUAUUUAAUCAUGGCAACUUUGCAAUGUCAUUUGUCAAAAUAUUGGUGGCCAUUUUGCCACAAUCGUGAGUAACUUCGGUUCACGCACACGCUUCUUUUUUACCGACCCCGAAAAUUUGUGUCAUUACUCAAUACUGCUUGGAGGUAAGUUUUUAAAUCUUUACUACAGUUUACUCAUAUAAUCCAUUACCAAAAUUAAAAAAAUCAUUCAGAUAUGUUCGUUAACUACAGAAAUAUUAGGGCAGACAAUGUUAGGAUACAAUCUGUAAUGUGAUGUUUUUCUAACUUCGUCUGCCCUUAGGGUCGUCAAAAUUAGAAUAAGAACUUUUUUUUUUACUUAUAUAAAAAGUACCUGGUCUGUAUUUUUUCUUACUCUAUACCCUCUAUACCUAUUUAAAACUGUUAUGUAUCUGAAUAAUUACCAAAACGUACAUAAGUAUAUUGUAUAAAUAACUAUGUAUUUCCUACAUAACAAAAUGUAAAGUAAGUUGAUAAAAGAGUUGAUUUCUGGCGCAUUUAAGGUGUUUUAAAUUAAUGUUUGAUAAUAAAAGGUUUCUUUAAAUAUAAAGUUACUAGGUUUUUCCUGCGGCGCUGCCUGCGUGAAUGUUGUUUUUUUUUAUUGAUUCCGCAUGAACCAUGGCUUUAUCACGAUAAAAAGUAGCCUGUGUAUUAAGUCAGGGUAUAAUUUAUUUCCAUUUCUAAUUUCAGCCAAAUAGGAUAAACAGUUGAGACUUGUGAUGUAGGAGAACUCCUGAAGGAGUAUAUUUUAUCCUGAAAUCCACGGUUUCCGCGGGAUUUAUGAUAAACCAAAAUUCAUGCGAGCGAUGCCGCGGGCAAAACCUAGAAAUUUUAUAAGAAAAAACUUUUAGUAACAGACAUGCGCCAACUAAAAGUGCUAGAAAUGAACUCACUUUUUAUACACUGGACAGCAAAUAAACCGGGCCACCCGCUACCUUGGGACUACCCGCUCCUUUCAAGGUAGCGCAAGUUGGAUAUCGGGCGUCGGCAUUCGUACAAUGGACUGGUCAGCUCGAAACCCUGACUUGAAUCCGAUAGAACACUUAUGGGAUGAGCUGAAAUGCCGGAUUCGAGCCCGGAUACCUGCUCCAAGUUUAUUUGGUAAAAUUUUAAUAACACCAUUGAAUAAAUUAAAAACAUUCUUUUGGUAUCCCGAGAAAAUAUAAAUACAGUUUAACCCUACCUUAAACUUUUAGCACUAAUUUAGGGGAGAUAAAUACCAUAACGUUGGUUUUGAAGAGAUAUUAACAUUUUUUCAGUCAAAGGAUGACCGUCCAUGUUUUCCUUAAGGCCUCGAUAUUUGUCAGAUUAAGUCAUUGCAAAGAGGGCAUCCCUGAGUUGCAUGCAUAGGGUUAAAUGCUGAAUCUUGUUUUGUACCACAUCCUGGUAUCUAGAAACAAUAAAAACAUUGAAUAGUUAUUAUUAGUAUUGACUGUCUCUGCCUCCUAUUUUCUCAUGCUACUAAAUGCCUCAGGCUCCAUUGGAUUGGAUAGGGUUUCUGGAGUUAGUAAUGCAGUGCGCUCCCAUAGCUCCAUCCGUAAACGAUUCGAUCCGUAAGGUCCGUUACGAACAAGGUUUGACGUUUACCUACAGAGUAAAGUGGAGUGGAGUAAAGCAAAGCGUUUUUUUUGACAGCAUCUUAAGCUCAGCUUUAUUAAUUGACAUAAUAAUGAUAAGAUAAAACCAGUUUAAUGAAACAAGACACAUUUGAGACCAAAGGCCGAGGUAUCUGCCGCCGUUAUGCCAAAGUCAUCACAUAUUAAGCUUCCUCAAUUCCCACGCUUGUAUAAGGCCGCGCUCUCACAAAAAUCAAAAAUUUUAUGAUUUCAAGCACUAAAUUUACCAUUAUAGGAAAAAAAUUCACAUAAUUGAAUACAUGUUUAAAAUAAACCAAUUUUUCGUAUUGACAUUUAAUGUAUCAUAUU